AUAAUACUCCCUCCGUCCGAAAAUACUUGUCAUCAAAAAGGAUAAAAGGAAAUGUAUCUACAUGUAUUUUAGUUCUAGAUACAUCUAUUUUUAUCCAUUUUGAUGGUAUUUUUGGACGGAGUAUGUUAUUA
rfam:Triticum urartu cultivar G1812 contig257844, whole genome shotgun sequence.